rnacentral:rRNA from 1 species
AUGAAUCCUAAGAUUUGUGACUUUGAGAGGUCUAAAAUACUGAAUCAAAAGGAUGAAGAUGUUGCUGAGAGAGUGACGCAAGAGUUGGCGGGGACACUAUCUUUUAUUUCCAUUUCAGGGGCUAUUUACCGCCGGAAUACACCGCAGAUGGUAUUUUUUUCAUUUAAACAUGAUGUGUUCGGCUUUGGCAUUCUCCUCCUCCAUACCAUUAGCAAGUCAGGACUGCUGCAAGAUUCAACUGAUUGGAUUCCAAAUGCACUUAAAGGAGAAGACAAUGUGGACAGCUUAUUAGAUACUUCCUCGCGUGAUGAGUCUGAGCUAAAGGAAAUAAAAAGAUGCAUGGACAUAGGACUGCAGUGCACCGCGAAGGAGCGGACAGAAAGACCCACCAUGUCGGAUGUUAUUGACUUGCUAGACGGCAAGGAGCUGCUCCGGAAGCCCCCGACUGGGAAUAAAGCUUCGUCAUUUAAGAAGAAAGGCAAAGCAUGA